rnacentral:rRNA from 1 species
UACGUAGGGACCAAGCGUUGUCCGGAAUCAUUGGGCGUAAAGCGCGCGUAGGUGGCCAUUUAAGUCCGCUGUGAAAGUCAGAGGCUCAACCUUUGAAAGCCGGUGGAUACUGGAUGGCUAGAGUACGGAAGAGGCGAGUGGAAUUCCUGGUGUAGCGGUGGAAUGCGCAGAUAUCAGGAGGAACACCGGUGGCGAAGGCGGCGUUCUGGACUGCAACUGACACUGAGGAACGAAAGCCAGGGGAGCAAACGGG